rnacentral:rRNA from 1 species
CCUACGGGUGGCAGCAGUGAGGAAUAUUGGUCAAUGGGCGGAAGCCUGAACCAGCCAAGUAGCGUGCAGGAUGACGGCCCUACGGGUUGUAAACUGCUUUUAUACGGGAAUAACGCGCCUUACGUGUAGGGCUUUGCAUGUACCGUAUGAAUAAGGACCGGCUAAUUCCUUGCCAGCAGCCGCGGUAAUACGGAAGGUCCGGGCGUUAUCCUGCUUUAUUGGGUUUAAAGGGAGCGUAGGCCUCAUGUCAAGCGUGCUGUGAAAUUGCCGGGCUCAACCCGGGCCUUGCAGCGCGAACUGGCGUGCUUGAGUCCGCGGAAAGCAGGCGGAAUUCGUCGUGUAGCGGUGAAAUGCUUAGAUAUGACGAAGAACCCCGAUUGCGAAGGCAGCUUGCUGCAGCGGAACUGACGCUGAUGCUCGAAAGCGCGGGUAUCGAACAGGAUUAGAUACCCUGGUAGUC